rfam:Bacteroides graminisolvens DSM 19988 = JCM 15093 DNA, contig: JCM15093.contig00009.
GCAGUCGGCCGGUUUGUCGCUUGCAUUUCGCAAGAGGAAAGUCCGGGCAACACAGAGCAUCCUACUUCCUAACAGAAAGCUGUCCGCGAGGGUAGAGUAAUGCAGAAGAAAAGAACCGCCUCUUCCGUCGGGAAGAGGUAAGGGUGAGAAGGUGAGGUAAGAGCUCACCAGCCGCGUGGCGACACGACGGGCUGUGCAUCUUAGGAGUUGUAAGGUCAUGUAUACCGACGUUAUGAGAGCUGCUCGCUCCAUGUCGGAGGGUAGACCGCUAAAGUGACGUGGUGACGCGCCACUCAGAUAAAUGACAAACACCUCUGGUCAUUGAGGUACAGAACCCGGCUUACAGGCCGACUGCUUUU